rnacentral:rRNA from 1 species
UGGGGAAUAUUGCACAAUGGGCGCAAGCCUGAUGCAGCGACGCCGCGUGAGGGAUGACGGCCUUCGGGUUGUAAACCUCUUUCAGCAGGGAAGAAGCGCAAGUGACGGUACCUGCAGAAGAAGCGCCGGCUAACUACGUGCCAGCAGCCGCGGUAAUACGUAGGGCGCAAGCGUUGUCCGGAAUUAUUGGGCGUAAAGAGCUCGUAGGCGGUUUGUCGCGUCUGCUGUGAAAACGCGAGGCUCAACCUCGCGCCUGCAGUGGGUACGGGCAGACUAGAGUGCGGUAGGGGAGACUGGAAUUCCUGGUGUAGCGGUGGAAUGCGCAGAUAUCAGGAGGAACACCGGUGGCGAAGGCGGGUCUCUGGGCCGUAACUGACGCUGAGGAGCGAAAGCAUGGGGAGCGAACA